ensembl:lncRNA
UGAGCUCUUGUGUAAUUGACAGCCCUGCUCAGACAAAGGAGGACUACUGGACAUCAGUUUGACUGACACCAGCCUUCUCCAGCACUACUACAAUCAAUAACCAUUAACAGAAGUCUACUGGACUUGUGGAUUUACUGCUAUUAAUAAGCCGUGUCUAUCUGGGUGUAGUUUAUGAAGGAACUUUUAGGUCUGUAACUAAAAGGAACUGCUUUUCUGUAGUUUUGUAGCCUUAUCCCUGGGCUUGGAGAGAACCACAACUCUUAGAGCCAGAAGGGAGAAACAACAGAGGGAAACUUCUCUUCAGAGCUGGUGAACGGUGAUGCGGUUUGUGCAUGGCUUCAGAGGUAGCUGCCUUGCUUCCCUGUGGUUUCUAAGCCACCGUCCUGCAUGCACAAGAGAGGAGCAGAACCUGAGCUGUGUGGGAACACCAGCUGCUCAGUCUGGUGUCUCUGGCCCUUCUGCCUGGGGAUCUGGAGCUAUUGGUCAGGCAUCACACUGCGACCCAGUGAACUCACCCCAUCCGUAUAGCUGGAACAUCUGUCAGGGAUGAACACGGGCUCUCCACAGGCUGCUGUGCCAAAUUCCUGAGAAAUAAACCCUCUCAAUCAGGGUGCUGUUGUUGACAGUGCACUUACGGAGGAUGUGAGUGUCAGCUCCAUCCUAGCAGAGUUAAACCCUGCAGGAUCCCUGCCCUGCUGGUGUCCCCAUUUUGUUGAUAAACGAACAGAGAAAGCCUUAUCAAAAUGAACAGAAUGCAGCCCUGCUAAUGUAGCUCCACUUGUGCUGAAGAUAAUUGAUGCUUUAAUAACGCUACACAUUAUCCAGGUUGUGGUUGGAGUGUACAUGUGAGGAGAGGCAUCAAUCACAGGUAGUUGUAUUCAACUUUUAUCAGUGUUCAGGUGGGUGGCAAAGUGUGUUCUGUGCUGCUCUGGGGGAAGGAGCGUUGGGCUCUGAGAUAGCAAGUGAAUGAAUCAUCACCUGCCUUUCGCCUGUAUCAAUUUCCUGCAGAUUGGGAGAGGGAGGAUUUACGUUUGCAAUUAUUUUCAAUUUAACUUUCAAUUAUUGCAGCAGGACACAGGAGAUGCCAUGUGCUGCUGUGCUGGAAACAGACUUGAUGAUGAAAACUGCAGCUCCCACCUGGAAGGCCUUCGGUCUCAUGAUCUAGAAGAGAUGGAGAGCCAGGUCUCUACCUGUUGAUGCAGUACGUGACCCAACUGCCAGCCCUGUGGGGUUGUGGGCAGGCCAUGGGGAUGGCUGCUGAUUAUGCACCAUAGAGCCUUAUGGAGUGGCUUCCAUUAGCUGUGUUUGGCUGUAUCCAAGGGCCAGUGUAUAUUGAUGUUGUGUUUGAUGUAUUAAUGAUAUCUGACAUUUCCAUGGGGUGGCUCCAAGCCUCACUGAAGCCAACAGGAGCUGGAGUGGAUCUGCAGACAGAUCCCCUGCUGGUGCAUCCUCUCCCAGGCCUGGUGUCCUGCACUUGGUGCAUCACGUGUGAAGCAGUAGUGGGCAGCUUUGAGAACGGUGCUCUCCUGUGGAGCUUUUCCUUGUUAAGAUGAUUCCUGAAGCAUCCUGCCUGGCAAAAAUGCUUCCUCUGGCCUGUGUCUGGCUGAAGGCUUGAUUUCUCAAAGAUAUUUAGUAAAUGAGCUCCUGUGUUCUUUGAGGAGGAUCAGAGAGAAAAGUGGUGUGUUCCGAGCAUCAGCCUCACGUCCCACCACGGUGAUGCAGGGAGCACUGAGGUUUGGUCUCAGGUAAGAAUCCCAGAUUCUGUUCAGGAUAAAAUAAGGGAGUAGGAGCUCCUGAUGCAGGAGGUUUGUCUUGCUGGAACAAGCACUGUACCUGGGCAAAAUGUGUGGAGGACUUUGCAUAGCCAGAUUAGUGCCUGGUCUGAGUCAUGGGCUCAGAAAAAGUGGUCUCAUGGCCUCUGCUGGCUUUCAGACCAGUGAUGGGUGAGAAAUGCUCACAUGGAUAAGUAAUGAGGACAGGGAACAUCCAAUUAAGCACUCAUCUCAGCCACCAGUAGGAGCUAUGUCUUUAUCACUCAUAGAAUGCUUCAUAAAGGCUCUCUCGAUGUUUUCCACUGAGUACAGCAAAACAGAACAGAUAGAUGCAUUCCGUUUCUGCUUUAGGUGUUUCUAACAUUAUUCAUCACUGCUGUAUCUAAAUACGAUCUUCCUUUGUUUUAUCACCGUUUGGAGUGCCAUUAUCAAAGUGAGAUUGAAAUAACUACAUAAUAAAAUCCCAGAUUAAGCUGAAACUAUGGUAAAUCUCUGCGAGCUGUAGAAAGGUAACAGCUAAGCUGCAUGGACUUGGCAUGUUGUCAAAUGACUGCGAUAAAACAUGCUGAUCCGCA